rnacentral:rRNA from 1 species
UACAGAGGUCCCAAGCGUUGUUCGGAUUUACUGGGCGUAAAGGGUGCGUAGGCGGUCGGGUAAGUUCGAUGUGAAAUCUCCAGGCUCAACCUGGAAACUGCAUUGAAUACUAUCCGGCUGGAGGGUUGGAGGGGAGACUGGAAUUCUCGGUGUAGCAGUGAAAUGCGUAGAUAUCGAGAGGAACACCAGUGGCGAAGGCGAGUCUCUGGACAUCUCCUGACGCUGAGGAACGAAAGCCAGGGGAGCAAACAGG